ensembl:lncRNA
AUCCCUCCCUUACGGAGUUUUUCCUGUGAGCCUAGAACUUCAGAGAUGGAUUUCUCCCUUCCCUAGCAUGGAAAAGAAAUGGAAAGCAAGCAAAAAGCCAGAAAAAAGGAAAAUUGUGAAAACCACAGAUCUUUUAAUUUGGAAAAGAAGCCUCUCAUCUUUAGAAAUGCUUUGAGUAGAAAAUGUUGGGAGCUCGAACCUUGAUAAUGGUAUUGAGGCAAUAGUUCCCUGUGUGUGUUAAAAAUGCCUUUAGGAAAAGAAUUAUUUCCUCAUGUAUGUUAGAUAUUCAUACAAGUAUUGUGUGGUUUGAUCUCUGUGCUCCUUUGAUGAAACUGUGAGCAUGUGCUCGAGGUCACAUUGGAAUGUUAGCAAAGUUCAUGUGGUUGGUACCAUCUUUCAGCUGCAGGCCAUGGCUUUCCCACUGUUCACACAGCAGAGGCUCUGGUUUACUUCUGAGAUUUUCUUCUCAAAUGAGCCAGCUCUUAGUAUAAGCUUCUUUCCUACACUGCUGAGCACCUAAUUGACAUACAUUAAAGUCAACGCCCCUUUACAUGGGUGAGCUUGAGUCUAAUUAUUUCCAAAACAGACAUAUAUGUGGGACAAGGCUUUGGUGGGAAACUUUCCCUGGAGUCUGUCUUGAGUACAUUUUUAUCUAUUUCACCUUCUAAUCCAUCUCUAAAACACAGAAGUAAGACUAAAAGGGAAUUAGUAAAUAAUGAUAUGGCUUUGUGCAAGAGUAGUGGGAAUAUCGAGUUUCUCUUUUGAAAAUAAAUGGGAAUUCCAGCUUUUUACCAGGGAACAAUUUUUUCUUGUUAUAAUGAGAAAGCUGAGCAGCAAAGGAAAGGUACAAAAUAACAUUUAUUGAAGGAAAAUGUGUAUCCCUGACCUCUGGAUAAAAACCACAGUGAUUUAUACAUUCAUUAGGUAGAGGCAUGAGAAUAAAAUAGCGGAAGACAGUGGUUUUCUGUUAGUAAUUCCAACAUUGUACACUUCCUAAACAAAGUUUUUUGUUGUUGUUGUUUUUAAAUAUGCAGGUUAAGUGACAUAAAUUACUAAUUCAGUUGAAUGAAUCACCACUUGAGGAAGAAAUUAUCAAAGAACAGUAACUGGCAAACUCUCACCAGACAGCCCCAGAUAGAUCCAUAAUGUUAGUGUUUUUUUUUUCUUUAGUGAUUUAUCCUGUUUGCUCUCAAAGAUACUAGGAACAAUAAGGCUCCUGAUGCUUUCCUUCAGAGCACAGAAUCACAGAAUGCCUUGGGAUGGGAGGGACCUUAAAGCCCAUCCAGUUCCAACCCAAUGCCAUGGGCAGGUCUGUCACCCACCAGAUCAGGCUGCCCAGGGCCCUGUCCAACCUGGACGCUUCUCUUCAGGUGAGAAAGCUUAUUGUUAGGCAUUUCCCCUAGCAUUUUCAUUAUAUGUAUUUGAAGCUACACCUUCUUGUUCCAGCCUGGUUAUUUGUUCCUUUCAUUGGUGUUUACAUUCUUCAGAUACUUGAAGUCAUUAACAUGGCUGCUGGACAUUUUACAGACAAUGAAUACCAUUCAUUUAAUCUCUCCUCAUAAAUCAGCUCCUCUAACUGUUCAGUCUUCUCUCUCUUUCUUUUCUCUCUCUUUCUUUUCUCUCUCUUUCUUUUCUCUCUCUUUCUUUUCUCUCUCUUUUCUCUUUCUUUUUUUUCCAUGCAGCCAAUUAUACAUUUUUCUCCUUUUGAUGUUGAAGUACCCAGAACUGUGCAAGGACUCCUACAUACAAUCUCCUCAGAGAGAGGCCAACUCGUUUACUCUCUGCUAUGAUAUCUGUGACCACAUACACAGCUAGCUAUCAAUUCUCAUUUGAAUUGCUUUUUCACAACUGAUUGUUUGGUGCUUUCUAAUACUUACUAACUUUGGGCUAUUUCAGAAUAACAUUUUGAACUGCUUGAAAGUUUGAAUUAAUAGAUUUAUGGUUUUUAUAAGUUUUGGGAAAGAUAUUGUAAAUCAAUGAUCAUAGAUCUGUAUUACAACUAACUGUAAAUAAGGACUGGAUAUGUUACUGCAAUGUCAGGAAGAGAUGCACAAAUGCUACGACAUUGUGUAGAAAUGAGAUUCUGUAUUUGCAUACACUGGAAGAUAAUUGGUAAUAUUACUAGAUCAGAAGAAUAAGCCAGGAUUGAUCUUAAGAUUCUCUUGGUUUAUUAUUCUGACCAAGGAAAGGUCCUCUGUGGCUUUGCUGCUCCUGAAUGGCUUCUUUCCUGUUAUUAAGGAUGCCCAUGAGGGAAGUUCUGUAAUUUCUACAGGAAGUCUAUUACAUUAUUUACAAGCAAUUCUACUAGAAGAUUUUUCCUGUUUCACAACCUGCAUAAAUUUGAUUUUCGGGGUUCUCAGGAGAAUUAAGAGUUGCCUCUUUUGCUAUUUAAAUGACAACAUUGAUGAAAUCUGGGAUUGGGACUUGGGUGCACUUGUUCCUUGAAACAAAAGAAGACAUAAAUGGUGAAAGAAAUAUGGUGAACACAUGGCCUGUAAUUAUCACAAAAUAUCUGAGCAGCCACCAUCAGAGCUCUUGAGAAUGACUGCCUGGGAGGGAGAAGGUUACAAGAAGUACUGUUAAUUUAACCAGGAAGGCUUUAUCCAUGUCAGAGUACCAGCUGCUGGUAAA